rnacentral:misc_RNA from 1 species
AACGCACAUUGCGCCCGCCAGUAUUCUGGCGGGCAUGCCUGUUCGAGCGUCAUUUCAACCAUCAAGCCCCCGGGCUUGUGUUGGGGACCUGCGGCUGCCCGCAGGCCCUGAAAUCCAGUGGCGGGCUCGCCGGCACACCGAGCGUAGUAGCACCAACCUCGCUCAGGGCGUUGCCGCGGGUUGCCAGCCGUAAAACCGCGUCGUCUCCCGGCACUAGGUUGACCUCGGAUCAGGUAGGAGGACCCGCUGAACUUAA